UUUAUUAAAAACAUGGCCUUUUGAUUAUGAUUUAAGGUCUGGCCUGCCCUAUGAGUAAUUAAAUGGCUGCGGUAUACUGACCGUGCUAAGGUAGCAUAAUCAUUAGUUCUUUAAUUGGGAGCUGGUAUGAAAGGUUGAAUGAGAGAACUACUGUCUCUGUGAAAAUUUAUUUGAAUUUUAUAUUUAAGUAAGAAAGCUUAGAUUAUUAUAGAAGACGAGAAGACCCUGUAGAGUUUUAUAUGUAUAUAAAUUUAUAAAUUUUGGUAUUUAAAAUGAUAAUUUUAUUUCUAUAUUUUGUUGGGGUGAUUGAAAAAUUUAAGUAACUUUUUUUGUAUAAAAACAUUGAUUUAUGAAUAAUUGAUCCUUUAAGUAAAGAUAAAAAGAUUAAAUUACCUCAGGGAUAACAGCGUAAUUUUUCUGGAGAGUUCAAAUUUAUAGAAAAGUUUGCGACCUCGAUGUUGGAUUAAAAUUUAUUUUUGGUGCAGGAGCUUUAAAAAUUAGGUCUGUUCGACCUUUAAAAUUUUACA
rnacentral:rRNA from 1 species